GACGAACCGUGCGAACGUUAUUCGGAAUCACUGGGCUUAAAGGGCGCGUAGGCGGGCAGGUAAGUCCGUGGUGAAAUCUCUGAGCUUAACUCAGAAACUGCCAUGGAUACUAUUUGUCUUGAAUAUUGUGGAGGUAAGCGGAAUAUGUCAUGUAGCGGUGAAAUGCUUAGAUAUGACAUAGAACACCAAUUGCGAAGGCAGCUUACUACACAGUUAUUGACGCUGAGGCACGAAAGCGUGGGGAUCAAACAGG
rnacentral:rRNA from 1 species